GAAGGAAAAUACGUCAACGUAAACAAUGGGGCGCACUGCGAUCCUCAAAUCGAACGAUAAAUGGGCAGCAGCGUUCUUGUUCGUUCUUAUAAUGAAGUUAGUUGGCAUACAGACAUAUAAACCAAUCAGCUAUAAAAAUAAAGAGUGCGCUCUACGCCUCACUUUCUUAUAACUAUCGUAAAAUUCAAAAAAUUUUUAUUCAAAUUAAUGCGACAUAACCAGUGAUAAAGAAAACACGCAAGGCAUACGACAGAAUUAACGUUGAACUCAAAGUCGUUAAAAUUGACAUUCUUCCCUUUCUUGUGAAUCUUUCAUAUAAUGUACUGAUAAUAAUAUUUAUAAUAUUUAUAAAAACAGAGAAGGCCUGUGCAUAGGUAUGUAUGUGCUUGUGUCCGAGGUAAUCUGAAAAACUACUUAAAUGAUUUGAUUAUAAUUCUUUCACAUUGAAAAGUACAUUUUCUCCAGCAUAUAAGAUACAUUUUAUUUACUUCUCAGGAAAUCGAGCAAUGAAUAUAGAUAUGACCAAGCAGGCCUCUAUUGCAUGGUUGCGUUUCGCUUGACUGUCAGUUGAUAGUCACUUCCUAGAAAUAUCGCUCGAAUACUAUUUACUAUGAUUUUUAUAACAAAUAAUAGUAAGUCUUAAAUCACGAAACUAAUUGUGGGGAGUAAGCACGAAACAUUCAGUUGGCGCAGUCGAAACGGUCGCACGUUGAAGAGAGAGAGGGAGAGGCAAUGUUGCCACAUGGUUACGACGCUGUGAAGUUGCUUUGCGUUGCACCGAAGGUGCUUUCGAGAUAUCUCGAGUUAUAGCGAUUACCAGAUCGUGCAAUAGUUUCGCUAACGACUGUGAAUAUUUAAAACGGAAAUCGUUCUCUGACCAUUAACAAGUGCGGACCCAACACUAAGAGAUAGUCUCAGUUAUCAUUUUGGGUCAAGGUAACAGAGGAUUUUCAGGUUUAAUAAAGCUGAAGGAAAAGGGGGAAAUUGUUUACGAAAAGACGAUAGAUAGAUGGUAGCCUCAGCUAGAGAAACUAGCGAUAGACACUCCAAGCGACUUACCGACGAUAGAGUUCGAACUUCUCAGACUCGAAAUAGAAAAAUCAGCGCUAAACACUGAACAAAUUAAGAAAUACUGCGCCACUACGCAGUAAGAGUAGAUUAGCAUUCAACCGUUAGGAUCAAGGUAUCAACAAUUAUUUCAUCUGAAUGGUAUUCAAAUAGAAUAUAAAACACCAACCAACGGUUUGACUUUCCCUGUGUUUACUGGGGUCCGUCGAACAAUAUAAAUAAAGAAGGACGGGGACUUAGCAGAGAGAAUAGAAGAGGAUUUCAAGAAGCGAAGGUUGAACAAAAAAGAAGAAAAGCAAGUUAAAAGUUAGAAAGAGAAAGAGAAGAGAGAUUAGAAGCGAAGAGUUUUGAGGAGACACGGAAGAAGACUUAGAAAAUCGAUUCUUGAGUUUUUACGAAUCGAUCGCCUGCCUUCCAAAAUAUUACACCAUUAUAUAAAUAUAUAUAUAUAUAUAUAUAAUUAUAGUAUAUUACAUAUAUAUAUGCAGACCCCAAAAAUUCAGAAAAUCAAUACAUAUCAAUUUCUACCAGUAACAGAACUAAAAAUAUAGUUUAUGCAAAAGUAUUAUAAUUAUUAAGAUAUGUAUAAUUUUAUGUGCCAGACUAGAUUAGCUGCGUAAUAAUGAUACAUGUAUGUGAGUAUGAGUGUGUGAAAGUAUGUGUGUGCGCGGCGUCUCGAAAACAAAUCAAUGUAAACUGUUCAGUCGAUUAACAGUCUGGUAUGGAAGAAGGUGAGACGCAUGCAAGUGUGUAUCGAUGAAUAUCUUUGAAAUCCUUUAUCAAAUAAGUAUAUAACUAUUCUAAUAUAAAUUCUAAGUGUAAAUUUAGUGUUCCAUUAUUUCGACAAUUAAGAUCGAAAAUUCUGAACAAUAACAUCAAAAAAUAAAAAGAGAAAAAUAUUACACUGGACUACCUCAUCUUACACUACACAAAUUUUCUGCUAUUAAAUCAAACUCUAAUAUUAAUUCCACAUAAUAAAAUAUAACUUAAAACAUUACAAUUGCAGAAAUUUUUUAAACAAAUGAAUCUGUGGCGCGACUUUAUGUAACCAAUAAGAAGAAGAAAAAUUGAGCGACAUAACUAUUUUAGUAAUUUUCUUUUAAUUCACCUAUAUAUAAAACACGAAAUUUGAAUGUUCAGUUAUUAAGAAAUCGUAUUAUCUGCAAUAAGUUUUUAACGGAAAUGUAUCAGACACAAGCAUAUUUAAUGUAAACUUUACAUAAAAGUUAAAAUAAAAAGAAAAUGUCAUCUACGAGUGUGCAAGUAUGUAUCCUAGAAAAAUUGUAAUAAAAUUUUCUUAGUACUUGACAUACAUUACGUAAAAUGUAGCAUGAGAAUUGUCUAAAAGGAGGAUAAUUUGUAGGGCAAAGAUAUAAAAAUUAAAUAAAAUAUUGAUAAAUAUAAAAAUUGGAUAAAGUAUUGCGGAGAUAAUAAAAAGGACAAUUUUGUUUGAGUAACCUCUACCUAUUAACAAUAAUUAUCUAAACAUACUUUGGAACUGCAUUGACAUUUUACGUAACACGGUUCUAGAAAACUUUUAUCUUUGAAAUCUCAUGCGCGAACGCCGAAACAUACUGUUCGAUCGAACACACCACAGAUUCGUGACGUGAACUGUGAAAAUUUCCAAUGACCUCGGGAUGUACAUAUGUGAUUAGCGAGUAACAGUAACUCUCAGCGUUAUAUUCCAUGUAGGUGCGGCGCGACGCAAAGUAGAUGGGUGCGGUUUACGUGAGUUAGAUCAGCAUUAACAUAGUAAGCGAUUUUGAAGUUUUGUUUAUCCUUAUAUUCUAAUGAGCAGAACACACGAUAUUUGAAUCAGUUUAAGUUAUAUUUAUUUCAGUUCAAAGCGUAAUCAAUGUGUUAUAUAUGAUAACAUCUUAAAGAUAAAGAAAAUUUUAAUUAAAAUACUCUCAGUACUUUCUAUUUUACCAUAUUAUCAUUGUUAUGAAUAGGCCUCCACAUAUACUUCCUCAAUUUUUAGAAGGGAAAUAGAAACGUCAUUAUUUUACAAAUGUUAGUCUAAAUAUUGAAACACAGCCUGGCAUAUCACUGUUGCUAAACAUCUGAGAGGGUACCAUUCUUGGAAAUCUUAGAGUUAUCAUAUGCAUACAGUAAAUCCCUUGAACCACUCCCACUAUUGAUGCUAUUGAUACUAUUGACACUAUUAACACUAUUGACACUAUAGACUCCCACUGUAGAAUUUCGAUAUUUUCAUUGUAAAUAAGGAACUGAAAAAUUACGCUUUUUAGAUAAAUCGUAAUGAAAAAUGUAAAAAUGUAAGAGAUAGAGAGAGAUAGAGAGAGAAUUACGACUAUAUUUAGCUAUAUGCUGCAUUUUCCUUUUUAAUUGAAAUAUAUUCCUCAUCGAAGAGGGAGAAAAAAGACGCAGACUAUAUAAAAGGAAAGAAGAAGACCUGAAACAUGUAAUAGAAGAAUGUGAAAUAACGGGAGGACCAAAGGACACGGAAAAACACUAAAUGAGAUUGGAGAAGGGCUAACAGAACUAACAGCAAUAACAGAGAAGAGAAGGGCAAUACAAGAUGGGGAGGAACGACAAGAAGGAAGCACAGCAAGGAGGCAAAAGCCCAAAAGUUCCAAUAGUUUUUAGUUAUUAAUUUUUAAUUAGUUUUUAAAGAUAGAAUAAUUAAGGAGUGCAAUAUAAUAGAAUGGACAAGAGGGGAGGUAGAGCGAAAUAGAUAUAAGGGAUGUAAAACCGAAAGUUCGUCUAAAACCGAAAGGCACGGGCUAAGCAACAAUAAAUAAAUAAAAUAAUAUAUUCCUUAACAUAUUUUAAAGUACAUUGUCACCAUUUACGAACCCACAAAUAGUGGCUGAAUGUGGUUUCCGCAAAAAUAUUAAAAUAUAAGGCAAGAAAGAAAAGUGAAGCACGUGACGAAUGCCGGUAUCGUCCCGAAUAAAUAAAAUACAAUAGAAAAAAUAGAAAAAACGGAAAGGUGAAUAGUACAGCAAUGUCAUUAAGUAAGGUAGAGCCAUUGAUAGAUAAAAACUAUCAAGUAACUGUUGAAAGUAGGUACAACCUUGAGAAACCACAAACUCUUUAAGGAACUUAUAGAAAAUGAUAAACCCGCAGAAAAUACUAAGCAAGUUACUCAAGAAAAUAAAAAUUGCCUGGUCUUGGAAAAACAAUGAGGCGUUCGAAAUUAUUAUAAUAAUCGAACAGGUUGAAUUGUGCUUAGGUGAGACGAGCGCAAAAAAGAUGGAACGAUUUAAAAUAUAUUUAUGUGGUUGAAGCUAAAAAUCAAAUAACAGAUAUAAAGUUAGAGCUAAAAGGUAUUACAAAGGAAAGUCCUGAAACUGCAAUGAAAUAUACAGGGUGGUUGGUAACUGGUGGUACAUGCGGAAA